UACAGGAGGUGCAAGCGUUGUUCGGAAUUAUUGGGCGUAAAGGGCGUGUAGGCGGUUUUGUAAGUCAUGUGUUAAAUACCGAGGCUCAACCUCGGACCUGCAUUUGAUACUACAAAACUUGAGGACGGGAGAGGCAAGUGGAAUUCUUAGUGGAGAGGUAGAAUGCAUUGAGAUUAAGAAGAACACCAGAGGCGAAGGCGGCUUGCUAGAACGGACCUGACGCUGAGGCGCGAAAGCGUGGGGAGCAAACGGG
rnacentral:rRNA from 1 species